AUUACACAUGGUUCUUGUUCCGGUUUUCAAAAAUAGAUAUCAGUAAAGAAUGACCCACUCUAGAACAAGUCCACUAUUCAUGUCGCAAUACUAUCGAACUACUACCACUCUCGCCUCGACGCUUUCUAUGAGUACUUACUUCUUUCUUUUUCCCGCAAAUCUUUUGAAUUUUGUUUUAAUUUUUAUUGCUGUCUAGGGCUAGAAAUCAAUGAAAGGCCAUUGCAGCGCGCGCUUUUGGAUUUUCAGAAGCUUUCCGUUACUGAUGCUGAAUCAAAAGUGGAGGAUUUGAAGACUAAGGAGGUUUUUGUACAGCAUGUUGAAAUAGUUAGGAACUCAGAUGCCAUUAUUGAUGUGUUGCAGUCAUUUGUUGUUCCCAGUUCUUCUAAUGCUGUUGAAGUUAUUCCGAAAGGUGAUGAAACGAAAGCUAAGGUUGAAAAAAGACACUAAACAAGAGCAGCUUUUAUCCAAGGCGAGACAGAGUCAAGAGGUUUACGUGCUGUGUGUGGCAUAUGAUUCAGGAUGACUUGGUUCAUGGAUGGGGUCUUGACUUUGCUCUUAGAAAAUGUGUAGAGCCGGCCCAUGAGAAGAUAGGAGUUGUGGAUUCUCAAUGGAUAAUUUAUCAAAUUGUUCCCUCGCUCUGGAACCAGGGUGAAUCAAAUAAUGGAAAGGCUCCAUGGCAAGGGGUAUGCAAACCACAUUUUCUUUUUCAUCAUUUGCGCUGAAUCUUAUUUCUGCCUGCUUCUCCCUUUGCAUCUAUGUUGCAUGGAAACAGAAAUACUGAAAUGAGAAAUUUGAAAUAGAAAACAGGGAAACUGACAGUUUU